AAGCCGAAUAUAUAAGACGGCGAGAUGAAAGCGUAGAGUUAACUCUUUACGCGGACAAAUCGUCAUCUUGGGUAUUUGAUUGUAUCUAAGGCUGCGUCGCCAUAUCAAAAGGGGCGGUGCAGUCGUCGCACAAACACGCUCCGUCGUUUUGGUGAUUUAGGUUACUGAAAUGAUAGGGUCAAGCGACUAAGUGCAUCUGGUGGAUGCCUUGGCGAUCACAGGCGAUGAAGGACGUGUAAGCCUGCGAAAAGCGCGGGGGAGCUGGCAAUAGAGCUUUGAUCCCGCGAUGUCCGAAUGGGGAA
rnacentral:misc_RNA from 1 species